UUUCCGUAGGUGAACCUGCGGAAGGAUCAUUAUUGUAUAACCGAGGUGCGAGGGCUGUCGCUGACCCGAAAGGUCGUGCACGCCCGAGUGCCCUCACACACAUCCAUCUCACCCCUUUGUGCACCACCGCGUGGGUCCCCCUUUGGCUUGUUCGGAGGGGGGCUUACGUUUUCACACAAACUUUGUAUGCAGUGUAGAAUGUAUUUUUUGUUUUUGCGAUCACGCAAUCAAUACAACUUUCAACAACGGAUCUCUUGGCUCUC
rnacentral:misc_RNA from 1 species